rnacentral:rRNA from 1 species
AUUGAACGCUGGCGGCAGGCCUAACACAUGCAAGUCGAACGGUAACAGGAAACAGCUUGCUGUUUCGCUGACGAGUGGCGGACGGGUGAGUAAUGUCUGGGAAACUGCCUGAUGGAGGGGGAUAACUACUGGAAACGGUAGCUAAUACCGCAUAACGUCGCAAGACCAAAGAGGGGGACCUUCGGGCCUCUUGCCAUCGGAUGUGCCCAGAUGGGAUUAGCUAGUAGGUGGGGUAACGGCUCACCUAGGCGACGAUCCCUAGCUGGUCUGAGAGGAUGACCAGCCACACUGGAACUGAGACACGGUCCAGACUCCUACGGGAGGCAGCGGUGGGGAAUAUUGCACAAUGGGCGCAAGCCUGAUGCAGCCAUGCCGCGUGUAUGAAGAAGGCCUUCGGGUUGUAAAGUACUUUCAGCGGGGAGGAAGGGAGUAAAGUUAAUACCUUUACUCAUUGACGUUACCCGCAGAAGAAGCACCGGCUAACUCCGUG